GUAUAGCUGCUGCUGCAGCAGCAGCAGCUGCUGCUGCUGUUGCUGCUGCUGCUGCAGCAGCAACUAGUGCUGCUGCUGCUUCAGCAGCAGCAAGGCAGCAUAGGUAAGGAAACGUUUCGCUCGCCUCAGUAGCGGUUACCGAUUAUCAGGUACCAGGAGCAGCAGCUGCUGCAGCAGCAGCAGCAGCUGCUGCUGCUGCUGCUGCUGCCGCACCCGCUGCUGCAGCCGCUGCUGCUGCUGCUGCAGCUGCAGCUGCAGCAGCAGCUGCUGCUGCUGCUGCUGCUGCUGCCGCACCCGCUGCUGCAGCCGCUGCUGCUGCUGCUGCAGCUGCAGCAGAGAAAU
rnacentral:ncRNA from 1 species